rnacentral:rRNA from 1 species
GGAUGCGAUCAUACCAGCACUAAAGCACCGGAUCCCAUCAGAACUCCGAAGUUAAGCGUGCUUCGGCGAGAGUAGUACUAGGAUGGGUGACCUCCUGGGAAGUCCUCGUGUUGCAUUCC